rnacentral:rRNA from 1 species
CUACGUGCCAGCAGCCGCGGUAAUACGUAGGUGGCAAGCGUUGUCCGGAUUUAUUGGGCGUAAAGCGAGCGCAGGCGGUUCCUUAAGUCUGAUGUGAAAGCCCCCGGCUCAACCGGGGAGGGUCAUUGGAAACUGGGGAACUUGAGUGCAGAAGAGGAGAGUGGAAUUCCAUGUGUAGCGGUGAAAUGCGUAGAUAUAUGGAGGAACACCGGUGGCGAAAGCGGCUCUCUGGCUUGUAACUGACGCUGAGGCUCGAAAGCUAGGGGAGCAAACAGGAUUAGAUACCCUGGUAGUCCUAGCCGUAAACGAUGGACACUAGGUGUGGGGGAAUAUUUCUUCCGUGCCGCAGCUAACGCAUUAAGUGUCCCGCCUGGGGAGUACGACCGCAAGGUUGAAACUCAAAGGAAUUGACGGGGGCCCGCACAAGCGGUGGAGCAUGUGGUUUAAUUCGAAGCAACGCGAAGAACCUUACCAAGUCUUGACAUCCUUUACCACUCUAGAGAUAGAGCUUUCCG